rnacentral:SRP_RNA from 1 species
GUCAGGCAUGGUGGCGUAUGCCUGUAGUCCCAGCUACUUGGGAGCUGAGGCAGGAGGAUCGCUUGAACCCGGGAGGUGGAGUUUGCAGUGGGCCAAGAUUUUGCCACUGCACUCCAGCCUGGGUGACAGAGUGAGACUCUGUCUCAA